rnacentral:lncRNA from 1 species
CUGAUACAGCUGUCUAAGCAGAGAUGUCAAGUAGGCAGUUGGAUAAAUGGGUCUGAAAUUCAGAGGAGAAGUCCAAGCUGGAGAAAUUUGAGAGCCAUCAGCAUUGUAGUGGACACUGUCAGGUCACAGCCCUGUGUCAAAUGUCACCAGACAAUAUGAUUGUAACAAUGUCGCAGGCUUCAGGGAACUGUUUCAUAAGAAAUCUCCUAUGUGGUCGUGGAGCAAGGAACUUGUGGCUUCUUCUCCUCCUACCGUGUCUGCAUCGGUACCAGACAGAGUGUCACCUAUUGUGUCAUUUGAACUCCCUCAACAUCAUCUAUGGAUCCCUGGUGACACCGCUGUGAUGUGAGAUGAAGCGGGUUCAAGAGCAGAAGAAAAGACAGUAUUAUGAAGAGAAGUUACAGUGUCAAGAAGCUGACUCUAGAAUGUGAGGUGGAAAAUCAGGGACUUCAGAGUCAACAGGGCUGGGUUUAAACAUCAGCUUUACUGCUUACGAACAUUUGACCUUAAAUAACUUACUUAACCUCUAUGAGCCUUAGUUUCUGAAUCUAUGGAACAAGGACUAUAAUACAUGCCUCAUGAGACUAUCGAAAGGAUUAAAUGAGAUGAUACACCUGUAACGCUAACUGAAGCCACAAUCCAUGUCGUCCAGUUCCAGAGGAGGGCCAGAGACAAGGAAACAUGGAAAUCUGUAGCCUCAACGUCAUGGAAAAGCAAUUCCAAUUUUAUUCAAGUUUCUC